CCUACGGGAGGCUGCAGUGGGGAAUAUUGCACAAUGGGCGCAAGCCUGAUGCAGCCAUGCCGCGUGUGUGAAGAAGGCCUUCGGGUUGUAAAGCACUUUCAGCGGGGAGGAAGGCGUUAAGGUUAAUAACCUUGGCGAUUGACGUUACCCGCAGAAGAAGCACCGGCUAACUCCGUGCCAGCAGCCGCGGUAAUACGGAGGGUGCAAGCGUUAAUCGGAAUUACUGGGCGUAAAGCACACGCAGGCGGUCUGUCAAGUCGGAUGUGAAAUCCCCGGGCUCAACCUGGGAACUGCAUUCGAAACUGGCAGGCUAGAGUCUUGUAGAGGGGGGUAGAAUUCCAGGUGUAGCGGUGAAAUGCGUAGAGAUCUGGAGGAAUACCGGUGGCGAAGGCGGCCCCCUGGACAAAGACUGACGCUCAGGUGCGAAAGCGUGGGGAGCAAACAGGAUUAGAUACCCCGGUAGUC
rnacentral:rRNA from 1 species